UGUGGUGGAUAGUGGAGUGUUUCCAUGUGGUAUUGGUGUGCUGGAUAUCCCCUCCCAAGGUGCAGGGCUACAUUUUUCCUCAUUGAAUUGUAGCAGCCACUUUUUGUUCCAUACCUGUAGCUUGGUGAUGUCUUCUUGUAGGAAAUCCUCAGUCAAGGGGUUAAGAAGCAAAAGAAAACAGACAGGAAUGGACUUUUAGAAUUACCAUGUUGGCAGUGAUUUCUAAGCCCUACUUUUAGACUGGAGGAACACAGGGAAGCAGACAGAUAGAAACAUGCAUCUGGGAUAAUAAUAAACAGACACUUGGUUAGCUUAGGUUAAGUAUGGUUUGGUUAGGUUAGAUUGGGUUAGAUUAGGUAAGGUUAAGUAAGGUAAGGUUUAAAGUUAAGUAAGAUAAGGUUUAAGGUUAAGUAAGAUAAGGUUUAAGGUUAAGUAAGAUAAGGUUUAAGUAAGGUUAGGUUAGGAUAGGUAAGGUUAGGUUAGGUUUAGUUUAGUUUAGACAGGUAAGGUAAGGUAAAAUUAGGAUAGGUUAGGUUAGGUUUACUUAGGACAGGUAAGGUUAGGUUUGGUUUAGUUAGAAUAGUUCAGGUAAGGUAAGGUUUGGUUUAGUUAGGCUGGUAAGGUAAGAUAAGGUCAGGUUUGGUUUGGUUUAGUUAGGACAGGUAAUGUUAGGUAAAGUUAGGAUAGACUAGGCUGGCAAGGUUAGGUUAGGUUUGGUUUAGUUAGGACAGGUAAGGUUAGGUUAGGUUUGGUUUAGUUAGGACAGGUAAUGUUGGGUAAAGUUAGGAUAGAUUAGGCUGGCAAGGUUAGGUUAGGUUUGGUUUAGUUAGGACAGGUAAGGUUAGGAUAGGUUAGGUUUGGUUUAGUUAGGCUGGUAAGGUUAGGUUUGGCUAGGACAGGUAAUGUUAGGUAAAGUUAGGAUAGAUUAGGCUGGCAAGGUUAGGUUAGGUUUGGUUUAGUUAGGACAGGUAAGGUUAGGAUAGGUUAGGUUUGGUUUAGUUAGGACAGGUAAGGUAAGGUUAGGUGUAGUUUAGUCAGAACAGGUAAGGUAGGGUAAGUAUGAGGAACCAGAGGAAGGGAAAGAGACAGUAACCCACCUUGUAUAACGCUG